CUCAGGAUGUAGCUCAGUGGUAGAGCACUUGCCUAGCAUGACCAAAACUGUGGGUUUAAGCCCCAACUCUUGGGG
rnacentral:tRNA from 1 species